GUGCUUCAGUAGCACAUAUACUAAACUUGAAACAAUACAGAGAAGAUUAGCAUGGCCUCUGUGCAAGCAUGCAAUUUGCACAUGCAAAUUUGACAUGCAAAUUUGU
rnacentral:snRNA from 1 species